UACGUAGGGCGCAAGCGUUGUCCGGAAUUAUUGGGCGUAAAGAGCUCGUAGGCGGUCUGUCGCGUCGGCUGUGAAAACCCGGAGCUCAACUCCGGGCCUGCAGUCGAUACGGGCAGACUGGAGUUCGGCAGGGGAGACUGGAAUUCCUGGUGUAGCGGUGAAAUGCGCAGAUAUCAGGAGGAACACCGAUGGCGAAGGCAGCCUUCUGGGCCAACACUGACGCUCAUGCACGAAAGCGUGGGGAGCAAACAGG
rnacentral:rRNA from 1 species